rnacentral:rRNA from 1 species
CCUACGGGAGGCAGCAGUGGGGAAUCUUGGGCAAUAGGCGAAAGCCUGACCCAGCAACACCGUGUGGGCGAUGAAGGCCUUCGGGUCGUAAAGCCCUGUUGAUAGGGACGAAGGGCGAAGGGUUAAUAGCCCCUAGCCUGACGGUACCUUUCGAGGAAGCCCCGGCUAACUACGUGCCAGCAGCCGCGGUAAUACGUAGGGGGCGAGCGUUGUCCGGAAUUAUUGGGCGUAAAGAGCGUGUAGGCGGUUCGGUAAGUCUGCCGUGAAAACCUGAGGCUCAACCUCGGGCGUGCGGUGGAUACUGCCGGGCUAGAGGACGGUAGAGGCGAGUGGAAUUCCCGGUGUAGCGGUGAAACGCGCAGAUAUCGGGAGGAACACCAGUAGCGAAGGCGGCUCGCUGGGCCGUUCCUGACGCUGAGACGCGAAAGCUAGGGGAGCGAACAGGAUUAGAUACCCUGGUAGUCCUAGCCGUAAACGAUGGACACUAGGUGUGGGGGGAGUCGAAUCCCUCUGUGCCGCAGUUAACGCGUUAAGUGUCCCGCCUGGGGAGUACGGCCGCAAGGCUAAAACUCAAAAGAAUUGACGGGGGCCCGCACAAGCAGCGGAGCAUGUUCUUUAAUUCGAUGCAACGCGAAGAACCUUACCUGGACUUGACAUGGUGCUGCAAGCGCACGGAAACGUGUGACCUUCGAGGGUGCACCACAGAUGCUGCAUGGCUGUCGUCAGCUCGUGUCGUGAGAUGUUGGGUUAAGUCCCGCAACGAGCGCAACCCCCGUCGCAUGUUGCCAGCAUUUAUUUGGGGGACUCACGCCAGACUGCCGGUGACAAACCGGAGGAAUGUGGGGAUGAGGUCAAGUCCUCCCGGUUUUACUCCCCCGCUUCAAACCCGCUACCCGGUUGAUACACUCGGCUGUCAAAU